rnacentral:rRNA from 1 species
UGGAAGUAAAAGUCGUAACAAGGUCUCCGUAGGUGAACCUGCGGAGGGAUCAUUACUGAGUGAGGGCCUUCGGGCUCGACCUCCAACCCUUUGUGGACACAACUUGUUGCUUCGGGGGCGACCCUGCCGUUUCUGACGGCGAGCGCCCCCGGAGGCCUUCAAACACUGCAUCUUUGCGUCGGAGUUUAAGCAAAUUAAACAAAACUUUCAACAACGGAUCUCUUGGUUCUGGCAUCGAUGAAGAACGCAGCGAAAUGCAAUAAGUAAUGUGAAUUGCAGAAUUCAGUGAAUCAUCGAAUCUUUGAACGCACAUUGCGCCCUUUGGUAUUCCGAAGGGCAUGCCUGUUCGAGCGUCAUUUCACCACUCAAGCCUGGCUUGGUAUUGGGCGCCGCGGUCAAUCCGCGCGCCUCAAAGUCUCCGGCUGAGCUGUCCGUCUCUAAGCGUUGUGAUUUCAUUAAUCGCUUUGGAGUGCAGGCGGCGGCGGCCGUUAAAUCUUUCACAAGGUUGACCUCGGAUCAGGUAGGGAUACCCGCUGAACUUAAGCAUAUCAAUAAGCGGAGGA